rnacentral:rRNA from 1 species
CAUGUCUUUUUGAGUAUAAUUUAAAGUCUAACCUGCCCAAUGAGGAGUUGAAUGGCCGCGGUAUUUUGACCGUGCAAAGGUAGCAUAAUCAUUAGUUUUUUAAUUGAAAGCUGGAAUGAAUGGUUGGACGAGAAAAUAACUGUCUCAGUAUAAUUUAAAUUAGAAUUUUAUUUUUAAGUAAGAAAGCUUAAAUUGAUUUAAAAGACGAGAAGACCCUAUAGAGUUUUAUAUUUAUUAUUAUAUGAAUAAUUAAGUAUUUUAAAAGUUUCUAUUAUAAUAAGUAUUUUGUUGGGGUGACAGAAAAAUUAAAUUAACUUUUUUUAUUUAUUAACAUUAAUUUAUGAGUGUUUGAUCCAUUAAUAAUGAUUAAAAGAUUAAAUUACCUUAGGGAUAACAGCGUAAUUUUUUUUGAGAGUUCUUAUCGAAAAAAAAGUUUGCGACCUCGAUGUUGGAUUAAAAUAAACUUUUGGUGCAGAAGCUAGAAAGUUAGGUCUGUUCGACCUUUAAAAUUUUACAUGAUCUGAGUUUAAACCGGUGUGAGCCAGGUUGGUUUCUAUCUUUAAAAAGUAAUUAUAUUUUAGUACGAAAGGACCAAAUAUAAGUAAUAUUUAUUUUACUUUGAUUAUUAUUAUUA